GAUGAAGAACGUAGCGAAACGCGAUAAGUAAUGUGAAUUGCAGAAUCCAGUGAAUCAUCGAAUCUUUGAACGCACAUUGCGCCCGCCAGCAUUCUGGCGGGCAUGCCUGUUCGAGCGUCAUUUCAACCCUCGACCUCCCCUUGGGGAGGUCGGCGUUGGGGACCGGCAGCACACCGCCGGCCCUGAAAUGGAGUGGCGGCCCGUCCGCGGCGACCUCUGCGCAGUAAUACAACUCGCACCGGGACCCCGACGCGGCCACGCCGUAAAACACCCAACUUCUGAACGUUGACCUCGAAUCAGGUAGGACUACCCGCUGAACUUAAGCAUAUCAAUAAGCGGAGGA
rnacentral:misc_RNA from 1 species